rnacentral:rRNA from 1 species
ACGAAGGGGGCUAGCGUUGUUCGGAAUUACUGGGCGUAAAGGGCGCGUAGGCGGCGCUGUAAGUGAGAUGUGAAAGACCUGGGCUUAACCUGGGAGGUGCAUUUCAGACUGCAGUGCUAGAGUGCGAGAGAGGAAAGUGGAAUGACGAGUGUAGAGGUGAAAUUCGUAGAUAUUCGUUGGAACACCAGUGGCGAAGGCGACUUUCUGGCUCGCAACUGACGCUAAGGCGCGAAAGCGUGGGGAGCAAACAGGAUUAGAUACCCUGGUAGUCCACGCUGUAAACGAUGAUUGCUAGACGUCGGGAACGACAGUUUUCGGUGUCGCAGCUAACGCAUUAAGCAAUCCGCCUGGGGAGUACGGUCGCAAGAUUA